GUGUACAGAAUGAGUUAAGGUCAUCUAGCAUCACAGAAAACCAAUGGAGAAAGAACAUAGAGAAGAAUUUGACAGUUUAUAAGGAGCAGAGACGGAAAGGUUAAAGGGAAUUAGUUUGCCGCACGAAACACACAUUGGUGACUGUCUUUUUUUCAAUGGAAACACACCAACUACUGAGAAAACGUGUCAACUGGGAUUUUCAUCGAUAUGGGGAUGAUUCUGUCUAGACUUAUAUUCUAAUCAAGGUAACCAAAGAGUAGUACAGGUGACUAAUCUAUAAUAAAGACAGCUUCCAUGCUAUAUAUCUGUAUAUCUGUUACUGAGAGGGUAGUGGAUGCAUGGAAUAGCCUUCCAGCUGAAGUGGUAGAGAUUAACACAGUGAGGGAGUUAAAGCAUGCGUGGGAUAGGCUAUCCAUAAGAUAAGGCCAGGGACUAAUGAAAGUAUUUAGAAAAUUGGGCAGACUAGAUGGGCCGAAUGGUUCUUAUCUGCCGUCACAUUCUAUGUUUCUAUUCGAUUUUAGAUUUCCAUGGCUGGAGGGUGUACAUUGUACCUGACUUCCAGAAUUGUGGUAUAAGGGUGAGAAUGUCAGAUGCAGCAGUAUAUGUUCACCUUGUAAGGGUGCGCCUAAUUCUACAGCUUAUUUAUUGG